UACGAAGGGGGCCAGCGUUGUUCGGAAUUACUGGGCGUAAAGCGCACGUAGGCGGGUCUGUAAGUAGGGGGUGAAAUCCCAGGGCUCAACCCUGGAACUGCCUUCUAGACUGCAGGCCUCGAGGUCAGGAGAGGCGAGUGGAAUACCGAGUGUAGAGGUGAAAUUCGUAGAUAUUCGGUGGAACACCAGUGGCGAAGGCGACUCGCUGGACUGAUACUGACGCUGAGGUGCGAAAGCGUGGGGAGCAAACAGG
rnacentral:rRNA from 1 species